UUCAGGAUGCCACUUCGAGUCCAUCAGACGCGUCCUCAAAUCCAGACGCACCGUCAGAGGCUGGGGCUACUACGACUGUUUCUCCGGACGAAUCGACAACUGC